rnacentral:misc_RNA from 1 species
CGCUGUCCGUCGGCCGGUCCCCUCAGUCGGGGGCGGCGGCCCGGGCGAAACACGUCGGCGUCGCGACCCAAGGUCAGCCAGCGUAGCAGAAACGUCUCGCGGGCUAGUGACCGAAAGGUAGGGCGCCAGAUCUUUCUAAAAAGAGAUCUCCAAUCCGAACGAUUGGCCUCGAAUCAGGUGGGGAUACCCGCUGAACUUAA